UCAGGGUGAACGCUAGCUACAGGCUUAACACAUGCAAGUCGAGGGGCAGCAUAUCGAAAGCUUGCUUUGAUGAUGGCGACCGGCGCACGGGUGAGUAACGCGUAUCCAACCUUCCCUAUACUAGAGGAUAGCCCGGCGAAAGUCGGAUUAAUACUCUAUGUUCUUCGUAGAAGACAUCUGAAAUGAAGCAAAGGUUUACCGGUAUAGGAUGGGGAUGCGUCUGAUUAGGUUGUUGGCGGGGUAACGGCCCACCAAGCCCACGAUCAGUAGGGGUUCUGAGAGGAAGGUCCCCCACAUUGGAACUGAGACACGGUCCAAACUCCUACGGGAGGCAGCAGUGAGGAAUAUUGGUCAAUGGACGAGAGUCUGAACCAGCCAAGUAGCGUGCAAGGAUGACGGCCCUAUGGGUUGUAAACUGCUUUUAUACAGGGAUAAAGUGCACUACGUGUAGUGUUUUGUAGGUACUGUAUGAAUAAGGACCGGCUAAUUCCGUGCCAGCCGCAGC
rnacentral:rRNA from 1 species